GCCGGAGUGGCGGAAUGGCAGACGCUGGAGACUUAAAAUCUUCUGCCAGCAAUGGCGUGCGGGUUCGAGUCCCGCCUCCGGCACCA
rnacentral:tRNA from 1 species